rnacentral:rRNA from 1 species
UACGUAGGGUGCAAGCGUUGUCCGGAAUUAUUGGGCGUAAAGAGCUCGUAGGCGGUCUGUCGCGUCGGAUGUGAAAAUCCAGGGCUCAACCCUGGACCUGCAUUCGAUACGGGCAGACUAGAGUUCGGUAGGGGAGACGUGGAAUUCCUGGUGUAGCGGUGAAAUGCGCAGAUAUCAGGAGGAACACCGGUGGCGAAGGCGGGUCUCGUGGGCCGAAACUGACGCUGAGGAGCGAAAGCGUGGGGAGCAAACAGG